CGUUAAUAAACCUUCUAUGACGCACCAUGUGAACAGAGCACACCAAAGCAAGCGUAAUGCGUAAUGCGGAAUAGCUACUGAAAUCGUGCAUGAUGUGGAAUGCGUAUUUGUGUAUGUCUGCUAACGAAUGUCGACGGAGCAUCUGUUUCAUUUUGUAUUUUGAAUUACAAACCUUCAACAAAAUAAUGGAUAAGAUGUUUAUAGUGAGUGAAGCGAUGAAGUAUUUAAUGAAAAUAUAUCUCAGAAAUCCGAUGCUGCAUCAUCGUAAAGAAAAAAUAAGACAAACAUUAAUAAAACUAUUAGCAGUAUACAUGAGUCUCUCAAAACAGAAAUCGAAAAGAAAAUGUCUGGGUGAGGCUAAUUUUUACUGUGGAACAACGGUUUCGUCAAGGUGACAGUGAAAAUUUGAUUCCUAUGUUAAAGAUAACAGAUAAACCUCUACAUUUCAAUUACUUAAGAAUGGAUUCAACGAUAUUUAAAGAACUGUUUUUGUUGGUGGGCCCUCAUCUUGAAAAAAAAGUAAAUAUUCGAGAACCAAUUGCAUCUCAUACAAGGCUACAAAUUUGCUUGAGGUAUUUGGCUAGUGGAGACAGCAUGAGAUAUGCAUUUUGAGUUUCUCCAAAUACUGUUUCAAUGAUUAUUCAUGAAACUUGUUAUGUAAUUUGGGAGAAAUUAAAAGCUAUUGUUUUGCCAAUUCCAAGUAAUAAGACGCAUGGAUCAAAGUUGCUACAGAUUUCGAGUCAAUUUGGAAUUUUCCACAUUGCCUUGGUGCUAUUGAUGGCAAAUACAUUGCUAUAGAGGCUCCUCUUCAUAGUGGGUUAGUGUACUACAAUUACAAAAAAUUCCACAGCUUUAAUUUGACUGAAAUUGCAGAUGCACACUACCGAUUCAUAUUAAUUGAUGUUGGAUCAGAAGGUCGUCGUAGUGAUGCUGGUGUGUUUGCUGCUAGUUCCAUAAAAGCUAGAUUAGAAGCUGAUUCUUUAAAUGUACCUGCACCUUCUACAAUCGGCCAAAGUGUAUUGCCAUAUGUUUUUGUUGGGGAUGAAGCAUACCCAUUGACUGCAUAUUUAAUGCGACCAUACUCAAGAAAAAGUGACUUGGAUUUGAAAAAAAAAAA